rnacentral:lncRNA from 1 species
AAGGAGUUAUUGCCCUUUAUAGUCAUUUUUUAACCAAUUUUUCGUAAAUUUUUGUAAUCUUCUCCUGAAACUACUGGGCCAAAUUUGAUUUAACUUAGCCACAAUCAUUAUUAGGGUAUCUAGUUUAAAAAUGUGUGCGGUGACCCAGCCAACCAACCAAGAUGGCCGCCAUGGCUAAAAAUAUAACAUAGGGGUAAAAUGAAGAUUUUGGCUGAUAACUUUGAAACCAUAGCA